GAUGAAGAACGUAGCAAAAUGCGAUAAGUAAUGUGAAUUGCAGAAUUCAGUGAAUCAUCGAAUCUUUGAACGCACAUUGCGCCCGCCAGUAUUCUGGCGGGCAUGCCUGUUCGAGCGUCAUUUCAACCCUCAAGCACAGCUUGGUGUUGGGACUCGCGUUAAUUCGCGUUCCUCAAAUUGAUUGGCGGUCACGUCGAGCUUCCAUAGCGUAGUAGUAAAACCCUCGUUACUGGUAAUCGUCGCGGCCACGCCGUUAAACCCCAACUUCUGAAUGUUGACCUCGGAUCAGGUAGGAAUACCCGCUGAACUUAAGCAUAUCAAUAAGGGAGGA
rnacentral:misc_RNA from 1 species